rnacentral:rRNA from 1 species
UACAGAGGGGGCAAGCGUUGUUCGGAAUUACUGGGCGUAAAGGGCGCGUAGGCGGCCUUCUAAGUCGAACGUGAAAUCCCCGGGCUCAACCCGGGAACUGCAUUCGAGACUGCAUUGCUAGAGUAUGGGAGAGGGAAGUGGAAUUUCCGGUGUAGCGGUGAAAUGCGUAGAUAUUGGGAGGAACACCGGUGGCGAAGGCGGCCAUCUGGACCGGUCCUGACGCUGAGGCGCGAAAGCGUGGGGAGCAAAGCAGGAGUUAGAAACCC